rnacentral:siRNA from 1 species
UCCACAAGUGCCAAUUGUUAU